ACAGAGGAGGCAAGCGUUGUUCGGAAUCACUGGGCUUAAAGCGCGUGUAGGCGGCUUAGAAAGUGUCGUGUGAAAUCCCGCGGCUCAACCGCGGAACUGCACGGCAAACUACUUGGCUUGAGGUCGGUAGAGGUGCCUGGAACUCUAGGUGGAGCGGUGAAAGGCGUAGAUAUCUAGAGGAACGGCAGAAGGGAAAGCGGGGCAGUGGGCAGAUUCGGCUGCUGAGACGAGAAAGCGUGGUGACCAAAAAG
rnacentral:rRNA from 1 species